rnacentral:rRNA from 1 species
UUGGCUCAGGAUGAACGCUGGCGGCGUGCUUAACACAUGCAAGUCGAACGAGCCUUCGGGCUGGUGGCGGACGGGUGAGUAACGCGUGAGAAUCUGCCCUCAGGAGGGGGAUAACGGCUGGAAACGGCCGCUAAUACCCCAUAUGCCGCGAGGUGAAACGAGUUUUCGCCUGAGGAUGAGCUCGCGUCUGAUUAGCUAGUUGGUGGGGUAAGAGCCUACCAAGGCAUCGAUCAGUAGCUGGUCUGAGAGGAUGAUCAGCCACACUGGGACUGAGACACGGCCCAGACUCCUACGGGAGGCAGCAGUGGGGAAUUUUCCGCAAUGGGCGCAAGCCUGACGGAGCAACGCCGCGUGAGGGAUGAAGGCCUCUGGGCUGUAAACCUCUUUUCUCAAGGAAGAAGAACUGACGGUACUUGAGGAAUAAGCCACGGCUAAUUCCGUGCCAGCAGCCGCGGUAAUACGGGAGUGGCAAGCGUUAUCCGGAAUUAUUGGGCGUAAAGCGUCCGCUGGCGGUCUUGAAAGUCUGUUGUUAAAGCGUGGAGCUCAACUCCAUUUCAGCAAUGGAAACUAGAAGACUAGAGUGUGGUAGGGGCAGAGGGAAUUCCCGGUGUAGCGGUGAAAUGCGUAGAUAUCGGGAAGAACACCAGUGGCGAAGGCGCUCUGCUGGGCCAUAACUGACGCUCAUGGACGAAAGCCAGGGGAGCGAAAGGGAUUAGAUACCCCUGUAGUCCCGGCCGUAAACGAUGAACACUAGGUGUCGGGGGAAUCGACCCCCUCGGUGUCGUAGCUAACGCGUUAAGUGUUCCGCCUGGGGAGUACGCACGCAAGUGUGAAACUCAAAGGAAUUGACGGGGGCCCGCACAAGCGGUGGAGUAUGUGGUUUAAUUCGAUGCAACGCGAAGAACCUUACCAGGGUUUGACAUCCUGCGAAUCUUUUGGAAACAGAAGAGUGCCUUCGGGAGCGCAGAGACAGGUGGUGCAUGGCUGUCGUCAGCUCGUGUCGUGAGAUGUUGGGUUAAGUCCCGCAACGAGCGCAACCCACGUCUUUAGUUGCCAGCAUUAGGUUGGGCACUCUAGAGAGACCGCCGGUGAUAAACCGGAGGAAGGUGUGGAUGACGUCAAGUCAUCAUGCCCCUUACAUCCUGGGCUACACACGUACUACAAUGCUACGGACAAAGGGCAGCAAACUCGCGAGAGCUAGCAAAUCCCAUAAACCGUGGCUCAGUUCAGAUCGUAGGCUGCAACUCGCCUACGUGAAGGAGGAAUCGCUAGUAAUCGCAGGUCAGCAUACUGCGGUGAAUACGUUCCCGGGCCUUGUACACACCGCCCGUCACACCAUGGAAGUUGGCCAUGCCCGAAGUCGUUACUCCAACCCUUGUGGAGGAGGACGCCGAAGGUGGGGCUGAUGACUG